AAAACGACUCUCGGCAACGGAUAUCUCGACUCUCGCAUCGAUGAAGAACGUAGCGAAAUGCGAUACUUGGUGUGAAUUGCAGAAUCCCGUGAACCAUCGAGUCUUUGAACGCAAGUUGCGCCCUAGGCCUUUAGGCCGAGGGCACGCCUGCCUGGGCGUCACGC
rnacentral:rRNA from 1 species